rnacentral:rRNA from 1 species
AUGGCCUACGGGGCGCAGCAGUGAGGAAUAUUGGUCAAUGGUCGGGAGACUGAACCAGCCAAGCCGCGUGAGGGAGGAAGGUACAGAGUAUCGUAAACCUCUUUUGUCAGGGAACAAAGGCGGGGACGUGUCCCCGGAUGAGUGUACCUGAAGAAAAAGCAUCGGCUAACUCCGUGCCAGCAGCCGCGGUAAUACGGAGGAUGCGAGCGUUAUCCGGAUUUAUUGGGUUUAAAGGGUGCGCAUGCGGUCUGUUAAGUCAGCGGUCAAAGCCCGGGGCUCAACCCCGGCCCGCCGUUGAAAACUGC